rnacentral:tRNA from 1 species
AGGAAGUGUGCCUGAAAGACCAAGGACUACUUUGAUAGAGUAUACCAUGGGGGUUAAAAUCCCCCCACUUCCUU